CCUACGGGGGGCAGCAGUAGGGAAUCUUCCACAAUGGGCGAAAGCCUGAUGGAGCAACGCCGCGUGGGUGAAGAAGGUCUUCGGAUCGUAAAACCCUGUUGUCAGAGAAGAAAGUGCGUGAGAGUAACUGUUCACGUUUCGACGGUAUCUAACCAGAAAGCCACGGCUAACUACGUGCCAGCAGCCGCUGUAAUACGUAGGUGUCAAGCGUUAUCCGGUUUUAUUGGGCGUAAAGGGAACGCAGGCGGGCUUUUAAGGCUGAUGUGAAAGCCUUCGGCUUAACCGGAGUAGUGCAUUGGAAACUGGGAGACGUGAGUGCAGAAGAGGAGAGUGGAACUCGAUGUGUAGCGGUGAAAUGCGUAGAUAUAUGGAAGAACACCAGUGGCGAAAGCGGCUCUCUGGUCUGUAACUGACGCUGAGGUUCGAAAGCGUGGGUAGCAAACAGGAUUAGAUACCCUUGUAGUC
rnacentral:rRNA from 1 species